UACGUAGGUGGCAAGCGUUAUCCGGAAUUACUGGGUGUAAAGGGCGCGCAGGCGGCCCUGCAAGUCGGAUGUGAAAGAUCAAGGCUCAACCUUGACAGGCCAUUCGAAACUGUGGGACUUGAGUGUCAGAGGGGAAAGUGGAAUUCCUAGUGGAGCGGUAAAAUGCGCAGAUAUUAGGAGGAACACCGGUGGCGAAGGCGACUUUCUGGCUGACAACUGACGCUGAGGCGCGAAAGCGUGGGGAGCAAACAGGAUUAGAUACCCUGGUA
rnacentral:rRNA from 1 species